ACGGGUGAGUAAUGCCUAGGAAUCUGCCUGGUAGUGGGGGGCAACGUUUCGAAAGGAACGCUAAUACCGCAUACGUCCUACGGGAGAAAGCAGGGGACCUUCGGGCCUUGCGCUAUCAGAUGAGCCUAGGUCGGAUUAGCUAGUUGGUGAGGUAAUGGCUCACCAAGGCGACGAUCCGUAACUGGUCUGAGAGGAUGAUCAGUCACACUGGAACUGAGACACGGUCCAGACUCCUACGGGAGGCAGCAGUGGGGAAUAUUGGACAAUGGGCGAAAGCCUGAUCCAGCCAUGCCGCGUGUGUGAAGAAGGUCUUCGGAUUGUAAAGCACUUUAAGUUGGGAGGAAGGGUUGUAGAUUAAUACUCUGCAAUUUUGACGUUACCGACAGAAUAAGCACCGGCUAACUCUGUGCCAGCAGCCGCGGUAAUACAGAGGGUGCAAGCGUUAAUCGGAAUUACUGGGCGUAAAGCGCGCGUAGGUGGUUUGUUAAGUUGGAUGUGAAAUCCCCGGGCUCAACCUGGGAACUGCAUCCAAAACUGGCAAGCUAGAGUAUGGUAGAGGGUGGUGGAAUUUCCUGUGUAGCGG
rnacentral:rRNA from 1 species